GAGGGUACAGCUCAGUGGUAGAGCACAUGCUUAGCAUGCAUGGGGUCCUGAGUUAAUCCCCAAUAUCUCCA
rnacentral:tRNA from 1 species